rnacentral:rRNA from 1 species
UACAGAGGGUGCAAGCGUUAAUCGGAAUUACUGGGCGUAAAGCGUGCGCAGGCGGUGAUGUAAGACAGGUGUGAAAUCCCCGGGCUUAACCUGGGAACUGCAUUUGUGACUGCAUCGCUGGAGUGCGGCAGAGGGGGAUGGAAUUCCGCGUGUAGCAGUGAAAUGCGUAGAUAUGCGGAGGAACACCGAUGGCGAAGGCAAUCCCCUGGGCCUGCACUGACGCUCAUGCACGAAAGCGUGGGGAGCAAAC